GCCAAUGUGGUGCAGUGGUUUGUGCAUUGGACUACAGCUCUGGAGAUCAGGGUUCAAAUCCUUGCUCAGCCA